AUUGAACGCUGGCGGCAGGCCUAACACAUGCAAGUCGAACGAGUGGCGGACGGGUGAGUAAUGUCUGGGAAACUGCCCGAUGGAGGGGGAUAACUACUGGAAACGGUAGCUAAUACCGCAUACCAUCGGAUGUGCCCAGAGGGGAUUAGCUUGUAGGUGAGGUAACGGCUCACCUCGGCGACGAUCCCUAGCUGGUCUGAGAGGAUGCCCGGGAAAACUGGAACUGAGACACGGGCUAGACUCCUACGGGAGGCAGUAGGGGGGAGUAUUGCACAAGGGGCGCAAGCCUUAUGCAGCCAGGCCGCGUGUAUGGAGAAGGCCUUCGGGUUGUAAAGUACUUUCAGCGGGGAGGCGUUACCCGCAGAAGAAGCACCGGCUAACUCCGUGCCAGCAGCCGCGGUAAUUC
rnacentral:rRNA from 1 species